rnacentral:rRNA from 1 species
GAUGAACGCUGGCGGCGUGCUUAACACAUGCAAGUCGAACGGAAAGGCCAGUGCUUGCCCUGGUACUCGAGUGGCGAACGGGUGAGUAACACGUGGGUGAUCUGCCCUGUACUUCGGGAUAAGCUUGGGAAACUGGGUCUAAUACCGGAUAGGACAACUUUUUGGAUAUUGUUGUGGAAAGCUUUUGCGGUAUGGGAUGAGCUCGCGGCCUAUCAGCUUGUUGGUGGGGUAAUGGCCUACCAAGGCGUCGACGGGUAGCCGGCCUGAGAGGGUGUACGGCCACAUUGGGACUGAGAUACGGCCCAGAGUCCUACGGGAGGCAGAAGUGGGGAAUAUUGCACAAUGGGCGCAAGCCUGAUGCAGCGACGCCGCGUGGGGGAUGAAGGCCUUCGGGUUGUAAACUCCUUUCGCUAGGGACGAAGCUUUUUUGUGACGGUACCUGGAGAAGAAGCACCGGCUAACUACGUG